GACGAACCGUGCAAACGUUAUUCGGAAUCACUGGGCUUAAAGGGCGCGUAGGCGGGCCGCCAGGUCCGGGGUGAAAGCCUCCAGCUCAACUGGAGAAGUGCCUUGGAUACCGGCGGCCUCGAGGGAGGUAGGGGCGUGCGGAACUUCGGGUGGAGCGGUGAAAUGCGUAGAUAUCGUCUGGAACGCCAACGGUGAAAACAGACAGCUGGGAGUGUGCUGACGCUGAGACACGAAAGCCAGGGGAGCGAACGGG
rnacentral:rRNA from 1 species